rnacentral:rRNA from 1 species
AUUGAACGCUAGCGGGAUGCCUUACACAUGCAAGUCGAACGGCAGCGCGGACUUCGGUCUGGCGGCGAGUGGCGAACGGGUGAGUAAUGUAUCGGAACGUGCCCAGUAGCGGGGGAUAACUACUCGAAAGAGUAGCUAAUACCGCAUACGCCCUACGGGGGAAAGGGGGGGAUCGCAAGACCUCUCACUAUUGGAGCGGCCGAUAUUGGAUUAGCUAGUUGGUGAGGUAAAGGCUCACCAAGGCGACGAUCCGUAGCGGGUCUGAGAGGAUGAUCCGCCACACUGGGACUGAGACACGGCCCAGACUCCUACGGGAGGCAGCAGUGGGGAAUAUUGGACAAUGGGGGGAACCCUGAUCCAGCCAUGCCGCGUGUGUGAAGAAGGCCUUAUGGUUGUAAAGCACUUUAAGCGAGGAGGAGGCUACUCUAGUUAAUACCUAGGGAUAGUGGACGUUACUCGCAGAAUAAGCACCGGCUAACUCUGUGCCAGCCGCCGCAGUAA